rnacentral:rRNA from 1 species
UAGGGAAUCUUCGGCAAUGGACGGAAGUCUGACCGAGCAACGCCGCGUGAGUGAAGAAGGUUUUCGGAUCGUAAAGCUCUGUUGUUAGAGAAGAACGUUGGUAGGAGUGGAAAAUCUACCAAGUGACGGUAACUAACCAGAAAGGGACGGCUAACUACGUGCCAGCAGCCGCGGUAAUACGUAGGUCCCGAGCGUUGUCCGGAUUUAUUGGGCGUAAAGCGAGCGCAGGCGGUUCUUUAAGUCUGAAGUUAAAGGCAGUGGCUUAACCAUUGUACGCUUUGGAAACUGGAGGAAUUGAGUGCAGAAGGGGAGAGUGGAAUUCCAGGUGUAACGGUGAAAUGCGUAGAUAUAUGGAGGAACACCGGUGGCGAAAGCGGCGCUCUGGUCAGUAACUGACGCUGAGGCUCGAAAGCGGGGGGAGCAAACAGG